ACAAACUCUUAUAAUUGAUCCUCAGGUAACUCAACAUUCCAUAAUGGUCUCUUACUAACACUGAACUGCUGACGAGCUAUCCUGAAUUCGAUCUCCCUUCUAAGUCUGAAUGUACUUGGUUUAUCUACUAGCUUCCAUUUGGCCCAUACCUGUUUCACUUGAAAUAGGUAGGCAUGUCAUUGAGUCUCUCCUUAAACUUCACCACUACUUUAGGCUCC
rnacentral:lncRNA from 1 species